UUAAAAUUCUGUUGGUUCUUGGGUUUCUGUAACAGGAAGUAGUGUUGAUGUUCCCUGAUAUUUGAUAACUCAUUUUUUUUGGAUACAAAUCGAAGAAAUCAUUGUGAGUUUUACGAGCAUAUGUCAUUAUCUAAAAUGGAUAUAUGUAAAUAGCUGGAUUUCGAGAGAAAAGAUCAAGCGGCAUAUCCAACAGCUGAGAGCGAGAACUUUUAUCAAUAAUUGAACUGAUCGCACCUCACAAACCGCAUCUAAGCAACAACAAUGGCCAGCAGCCGAAAACUUCCCAGAUUUGCAGCACUUAACGUUCUCGUGAUUUUACUGUCUCAAUAUUUCAUUUCGACCCAAGCGCUCCAAUCAGCCAAUGAAACAGAUGACCAGGAGGACGAAAAUGAAAGCUUCAUGGAGCAACAAAUGGACGAGCUAGAAAAAUUUUACCUUUAUAAACUUUAUCUCCAGCAACAUGCUUGCUUCCCAUCUGAGUAAACCGACAAGAUAUUGACAAACCAUGGAAUCCAUUCGUCAAUCAUAAGAGAUCGGACUUCAACGUCGGGUUCUUGAAUAAAGUCACUGCAAAUGGCGCCAAAGGGGCUAGUGACCGAAACAGGCUGAAACAGUUCUACGGGGGCUCUAUUGGACCAGGCUAACAUAUGACAUCAGGAUUUCUUGUUUGGAUCGGAUUUUAUGGAAAUAUGAAGAUUAACUGACAAUCUAUAAUCGAUGAUCUACAUGAACUGAAGUUUCGAAUUUAAUUUUGCUGUUUAAUUGAGAACUCUUCUCAUAUAAUAUAGUUUACAAAUCUUGUGAG